rnacentral:rRNA from 1 species
GACGAACGCUGGCGGCGUGCUUAACACAUGCAAGUCGAACGAUGAAGCGGGUGCUUGCACUCGUGGAUUAGUGGCGAACGGGCGAGUAACACGUGAGUAACCUGUCCUUUUCUUUGGGAUAACGGCUGGAAACGGCUGCUAAUACUGGAUAUUCAGGCUGCAUCGCAUGGUGUGGUUUGGAAAGGUUUUUUCUGGGAUUGGGUGGGCUCGCGGCCUAUCAGCUUGUCGGUGGGGUGAUGGCUUACCAAGGCUUUGACGGGUAGCCGGCCUGAGAGGGUGGUCGGUCGCACUGGGACUGAGAUACGGCCCAGACUCCUACGGGAGGCAGCAGUGGGGAAUAUUGCACAAUGGACGAAAGUUUGAUGCAGCGACGCCGCGUGGAGGGUGUAGGCCUUCGGGUUGUGAACUCCUUUUUCUCGCGAAAAAGGCACAGUUUUGGCUGUGUUGAUGGUAGUGGGGGAAGAAGCGCCGGCUAACUACGUG